rnacentral:rRNA from 1 species
UACGGGGGGUGCGAGCGUUGUCCGGAAUCACUGGGCGUAAAGGGCGCGUAGGUGGCGUCGUAAGUUUGUGGUGAAAGCCCGGAGCUCAACUCCGGGUCUGCCGCGAAUACUGCGAGGCUUGAGUGCUGUAGAGGGGGGUAGAAUGCCGGGUGUAGCGGUGGAAUGCGUAGAGAUCCGGCAGAACACCAGUGGCGAAGGCGGCCCGCUGGGCAGUGGCUGACGCUGAGGCGCGACAGCGUGGGGAGCAAACGGG